UUAAAGGUGAAUUUUUAAGCCUGUUCUAGGCUGGGCUUUUCUUGCUCUCUGGAUUAAAGGUGAAUUUUUAAAGCAUCUUCUAGACUGGGCUUUUCCUGCUCUUUGGAUUAAAGGUGAAUUUUUAAAGCCUGUUCUAGGCUGGGAUUUCCUGCUCUCUGGAUUAAAGGUGAAUUUUUAAAGCUUUUUUGUAACCAAAGAGCAGCUGGGCGUGGGGGAGCUCCUGCACCGUGUGUAAAGUGUGAGUAGCUCAGGCUGCCUCAAUAAAGUGUGAGAAGA
rnacentral:lncRNA from 1 species